CCCCCGGUAGCGGCGAGCGAACGGGGAAGAGCCCAACGCCGAAUCCCGCGGCCCAUCAGUGGUCGCCGGGAACUGUGGCGUAAGGGAGGAUCUCCUUCCGGUCCGCCCGUGGAGGCCCGAGUCUCCGCGAACGGAGCACGCGCCCUUGGCGGGUGCGAGGCCCCUAGAGGCCGAGCCACGGCGGCCGGUCGGAACCUCCCGAGAGUAGGGUUGCCCGAGAGCGCAACCCGAAGCGGGUGGUAAACUCCAUCUAAGGCUAAAUACUUUCGGCGAGACCGAUAGCGAACAAGUACCGUGAGGGAAAGUUGAAAAGAACUUUGAAGAGAGAGUUCAACAGUACGUGAAACCGCUCGGAGGUAAACGGGCGGAACCUCGAAGCCCGAACCGUCGAGGAAUCAACCCUUCGGCCGUCCGAGCCGCCGGUUAAAGUCGUCCCCGUUCAUUCGGCGGAUGGCAAGACGGAUCCUCGCGACCGUCGCCGGCGGUCAUCGGACGGUCACACCCAAACGAAGGGCGCAUUUCCUCCGGAGAGGACGCCACGACCGGUCGGUCAGAGCGGUCGGAAGGUCGGUGUGAUGCGGAGGCACGGCCCGGCGGCUUUGCGCCGUCGGCGAGUCGUGGUUACCCGUCCACCGUAUACCCGGUAAGCCGCUCUCCGACCGAGGACACCACUUAUCCCCAGUACGACCCGACCGGCCUU
rnacentral:rRNA from 1 species